rnacentral:rRNA from 1 species
AGAGUUUGAUCAUGGCUCAGAAUGAACGUUGGCGGCGUGGAUUAGGCAUGCAAGUCGAGCGUGUACCCCGCAAGGGGGAAAGCGGCGAAAGGGACAGUAACACGUAGAUUACCUACCCUCUGGUUCAGAAUAGCUGCGGGAAACUGCAGGUAAUGCUGAAUGAUAUCUCCGGAUCAAAGGUGUGAUUCCGCCGGAGGAUGGGUCUGCGUCCUAUUAGCUUGUUGGUGGGGUAACGGCCUACCAAGGCAAUGAUGGGUAGUGGGUGUGAGAGCACGACCCGCGUCACUGGGACUGAGACACUGCCCAGACACCUACGGGUGGCUGCAGUCGAGGAUCUUCGGCAAUGGGCGCAAGCCUGACCGAGCGACGCCGCGUGCGGGAUGAAGGCCUUCGGGUUGUAAACCGCUGUCAGAGGGGAUGAAAUGCAGGUGGGUUCUCCCAUCUGUUUGACAUAUCCUCAGAGGAAGUACGGGCUAAGUUCGUGCCAGCAGCCGCGGUAAGACGAACCGUACGAACGUUAUUCGGAAUCACUGGGCUUAAAGGGUGCGUAGGCUGCGCAGAAAGUUGGGUGUGAAAUCCCUCGGCUUAACCGAGGAACUGCGCCCAAAACUACUGUGCUCGAGGGAGACAGAGGUGAGCGGAACUUAGGGUGGAGCGGUGAAAUGCGUUGAUAUCCUAAGGAACACCGGUGGCGAAAGCGGCUCACUGGGUCUCUUCUGACGCUGAGGCACGAAAGCUAGGGGAGCGAACGGGAUUAGAUACCCCGGUAGUCCUAGCCGUAAACGAUGAGCACUGGGUUGAAGACCCCCCCAUAGGUUUUCAGCCGCAGCGAAAGUGUUGAGUGCUCCGCCUGGGGAGUAUGGUCGCAAGGCUGAACUCAAGGAAUUGACGGGGCUCACACAGCGUGGAGAUGUGGCUUAAUUCGAGCUACGCGAGACCUUAUCCUAGUCUUGACAUGCACGG